AUUGAACGCUGGCGGCAGGCCUAACACAUGCAAGUCGAGCGGAUGAAGGGAGCUUGCUCCUGGAUUCAGCGGCGGACGGGUGAGUAAUGCCUAGGAAUCUGCCUGGUAGUGGGGGAUAACGUCCGGAAACGGGCGCUAAUACCGCAUACGUCCUGAGGGAGAAAGUGGGGGAUCUUCGGACCUCACGCUAUCAGAUGAGCCUAGGUCGGAUUAGCUAGUUGGUGGGGUAAAGGCCUACCAAGGCGACGAUCCGUAACUGGUCUGAGAGGAUGAUCAGUCACACUGGAACUGAGACACGGCCCAGACUCCUACGGGAGGCAGCAGUGGGGAAUAUUGGACAAUGGGCGAAAGCCUGAUCCAGCCAUGCCGCGUGUGUGAAGAAGGUCUUCGGAUUGUAAAGCACUUUAAGUUGGGAGGAAGGGCAGUAAGUAAAUACCUUGCUGUUUUGACGUUACCAACAGAAUAAGCACCGGCUAACUUCGUG
rnacentral:rRNA from 1 species